AUACGGAGGGGGCUAGCGUUGUUCGGAAUUACUGGGCGUAAAGCGCGCGUCGGCGGAUUGUUAAGUCGGGGGUGAAAUCCCGGGGCUCAACCCCGGAACUGCCUCCGAUACCGACAGUCUUGAGGUCGAGAGAGGUGAGUGGAAUUCCGAGUGUAGAGGUGAAAUUCGUAGAUAUUCGGAGGAACACCAGUGGCGAAGGCGGCUCACUGGCUCGAUUCUGACGCUGAGGUGCGAAAGCGUGGGGAGCAAACAGGAUUAGAAACCCCAGUAGUCC
rnacentral:rRNA from 1 species